rnacentral:lncRNA from 1 species
UUCGGCCGCCAAGUUGGCGUAAUACCUACGUCCUGCGUCUGAUUGUAUUGAUUUGUGUUGAGAGAAUAAUCUGUCCUAGGGGGGUCCCUUGCCCCUCCUUAUAUAGUCCGGAGGGCAGGGUUACAGAUCUGAGAACUAAUCCUCGUCGGUUACAAUUGCCAUAGAUAGUUUGAUAUCAAUUCCUAUUCUAACCGACUAGAAUCCUGCUUGAUCUCCACGUCUUGUUUCCUUGCGCGAAACUCCAAGCUGUCGGAUCAAGCCUUGAGCUUAUCUCGUAAUGGGCCAAGCCUCCUGGCCCAAGUCUAGCCGUAAGGGUAUAGGGGUUUAUACCCCCACAGUAAGCUUAUGAGGAAUCAAAUGCUCACUACCUAUCCUUCUAAAACUUCCGCAAGAAUUUGUGGAACCUCCGCAUUAUGCUAAUCCGCUGAAUCGAGUUUUAAGUUUUUACAAGCCAAUUAACCUCCCCCUCUAGGCCUUUCCUAUCCUUUGGACGGCUGCACAUUAUCAUCUUUUUUGUGUCUACUACAUCAUCUUAUUUUUUUGUCUACUACAUCCUUUAAACGGUGGCAACCACUUUUUAUUUUCUUUUUUUCUUAGCUUUGUAAACCUAUAUAAGAACUUGGUUAGUUCAGAACCAAAAAUAAAUUUUGUUGAUUUUCUUUUUGAAAAAAAACUCUCAGUCUCAACCCAUGUAUCAGUUCAAGCCAGCCAUGAAUGACAAUAGGUUGGGAUUAAAACAAUAUUAUGGUAUAGAAAGAAAAACGAUCAGUUUGGAAUUGUUCAUAUUUAUGAAAUUAAUGACAGCUUUUAUAUUUGGCCAGAUUCAUAAAUGAUAUCGUGUAGUAAACGAUUCAAGCUGAUUGAUGGAUGAGAUGAGCAUGCUAGGGUCUAUAGCUUGCAAUGACAGUGAUUCAGAGUAUACAGAGAUGCGCUGUUACAAUACUUGGACCGUAUAUGCACGAACAAGCAAGUUUUUGUAUCAAAUUUAACUUAUGAGAAGAUUGUGGAUCGAUAUGCACCCACCUAUAUUACUGUUGUAUUAAAUUAGACAAAUUAUAAGAUAUUGGACUAACAUGCACCCACUUAGAUACUUGUCGUAUGGUGAGUGUAAUUUACUCAAUGCAAAACUGUUAGAGAUGCUCACAAACAUUAUUAUGCUACGUUGAGUAGGGUCUCAUAGGUACCAAGCGUGGCUGAGGAGGGGGCUGAAGGGACUGUUAUGCCUAAGAGGAGUGGUCGAAUUAAACAACUUAAAAUUAUUCGGUCAAUUAAAAGCUAAUUACCAAAAACUAUAUGCAAGAUAUACUAUCCAAAUGUGUACUACAGUUUAGCUUGCUAUAUCUCUAAUGUAAAAAAGUUUUACCCCUAUAUAUAACUUCAUUAGAUUUUUCCACACCAAACUUUUUCCGGUAGAAUUUGAGAUUUCCACCCUACCC